rnacentral:rRNA from 1 species
UACGUAGGGUGCGAGCGUUAAUCGGAAUUACUGGGCGUAAAGCGUGCGCAGGCGGUUCGCCAAGUCAGGUGUGAAAUCCCCGGGCUUAACCUGGGAAUUGCGCUUGAAACUAGCGGGCUUGAGUGUGGCAGAGGGGGGUGGAAUUCCACGUGUAGCAGUGAAAUGCGUAGAGAUGUGGAGGAACACCGAUGGCGAAGGCAGCCCCCUGGGUCAAAACUGACGCUCAUGCACGAAAGCGUGGGGAGCAAACAGG